UACCGCGUGUGUGAAGAAGGCCUUAGGGUUGUAAAGCACUUUCAAUUGGGAGGAAAACCUACCGGUCAAUACCCGGUAGCUUGACAUUACCUUUAGAAGAAGCACCGGCUAACUCCGUGCCAGCAGCCGCGGUAAUACGGAGGGUGCGAGCGUUAAUCGGAAUUACUGGGCGUAAAGCGUGCGUAGGCGGUUCGUUAAGUAAGAUGUGAAAGCCCUGGGCUCAACCUGGGAACUGCAUUUGAAACUGGCGGACUAGAGUUUAGUAGAGGGGAGUGGAAUUUCAGGUGUAGCGGUGAAAUGCGUAGAUAUCUGAAGGAACACCAGUGGCGAAGGCGACUCCCUGGACUAGAACUGACGCUGAGGUACGAAAGCGUGGGUAGCAAACAGGAUUAGAUACCCUGGUAGUCCACGCCGUAAACGAUGUCGACUAGCCGUUGGGCCUAUAUACAGGUUUAGUGGCGCAGCUAACGCAUUAAGUCGACCGCCUGGGGAGUACGGCCGCAAGGUUAAAACUCAAAUGAAUUGACGGGGGCCCGCACAAGCGGUGGAGCAUGUGGUUUAAUUCGAUGCAACGCGAAGAACCUUACCUACCCUUGACAUCCAGAGAAUCUGUUAGAGAUAGU
rnacentral:rRNA from 1 species